rnacentral:rRNA from 1 species
CGGAGCCUGUGAAGGUAAGCAAAUCUCAAAAAUAACGUCUCAGUUCGGAUUGUAGUCUGCAACUCGACUACAUGAAGCUGGAAUCGCUAGUAAUCGCGGAUCAGAAUGCCGCGGUGAAUACGUUCCCGGGUCUUGUACACACCGCCCGUCACACCAUGGGAGUCGGAAAUGCCCGAAGCCAGUGACCCAACUGAAAGGAGGGAGCUGUCGAAGGCAGGUCUGAUAACUGGGGUGAAGUCGUAACAAGGUAUC